GGGUCGUGAGCAUGGAUGGUUAUGCUCCGGGCUCUUACCCCGGAGAGCAGGGUUCGAGUCCCUGGCGGCCCAC
rnacentral:tRNA from 1 species